AAUAUUGGACAAUGGGCGAAAGCCUGAUCCAGCCAUGCCGCGUGUGUGAAGAAGGUCUNCGGAUUNUNAAGCACUUUACGUAGGGNGGCAGGGCAGUAAGUUAAUACCUGGCUGUUUUGACGUUACCGACAGAAUAAGCACCGUCGAACUUCGUGCCAGCAGCCGCUGUAAUACGAAGGGUUCAAGCGUUAAUAGUACUUACUGGUUGUACAGUGCGCGUAGGUGGUUGGUUAAGUUGGAAGUGAAAGCCGCGGGCACAACUUGGGAACUGCUUUUAAAACUGGCAGGCUAGAGUAUGGCAGAGGGUGGUGGAAUUUACUGUGUAGCGGUGAAAUGCGUAGAUAUAGGAAGGAACACCAGUGGCGAAGGCGACCACCUGGGCUAAUACUGACACUGAGGUGCGAAUGCGUGGGGAGCAAACA
rnacentral:rRNA from 1 species